rnacentral:misc_RNA from 1 species
GAUGAAGAACGCAGCGAAAUGCGAUAAGUAAUGCGAAUUGCAGAAUUUCCGUGAAUCAUCGAAUCUUUGAACGCACAUUGCGCCCCCUGGUAUUCCGGGGGGCAUGCCUGUUCGAGCGUCAUUACAACCCUCAAGCUCUGCUUGGUAUUGGGCCCCGCCAGUUCUGGCGGGCCCUAAAGUCAGUGGCGGUGCCUUCCGGCUCCGAGCGUAGUAAUUCUUCUCGCUCUGGAGACCCGGUUGUGUGCUUGCCAACAACCCCCAAUUUUUUAAGGUUGACCUCGGAUCAGGUAGGGAUACCCGCUGAACUUAAGCAUAUCAAUAAGCGGAGGA